rnacentral:rRNA from 1 species
AGUGAACGCUGGCGGUAGGCCUAACACAUGCCAGUCGAACGGCAGCACAGUAAGAGCUUGCUCUUACGGGUGGCGAGUGGCGGACGGGUGAGGAAUACAUCGGAAUCUACUUUUUCGUGGGGGAUAACGUAGGGAAACUUACGCUAAUACCGCAUACGACCUACGGGUGAAAGCAGGGGAUCUUCGGACCUUGCGCGAUUGAAUGAGCCGAUGUCGGAUUAGCUAGUUGGCGGGGUAAAGGCCCACCAAGGCGACGAUCCGUAGCUGGUCUGAGAGGAUGAUCAGCCACACUGGAACUGAGACACGGUCCAGACUCCUACGGGAGGCAGCAGUGGGGAAUAUUGGACAAUGGGCGCAAGCCUGAUCCAGCCAUACCGCGUGGGUGAAGAAGGCCUUCGGGUUGUAAAGCCCUUUUGUUGGGAAAGAAAAGCAGCAGGUUAAUACCCCGCUGUUCUGACGGUACCCAAAGAAUAAGCACCGGCUAACUUCGAG